GGUUCCGUAGGUGAACCUGCGGAAGGAUCAUUACCGAGUGCGGGCCCUCUGGGUCCAACCUCCCACCCGUGUCUAUCGUACCUUGUUGCUUCGGCGGGCCCGCCGUUUCGACGGCCGCCGGGGAGGCCCUCGCGCCCCCGGGCCCGCGCCCGCCGAAGACCCCAACAUGAACGCUGUUCUGAAAGUAUGCAGUCUGAGUUCGAUUAUCGUAAUCAGUUAAAACUUUCAACAACGGAUCUCUUGGUUCCGGCAUCGAUGAAGAACGCAGCGAAAUGCGAUAAGUAAUGUGAAUUGCAGAAUUCAGUGAAUCAUCGAGUCUUUGAACGCACAUUGCGCCCCCUGGUAUUCCGGGGGGCAUGCCUGUCCGAGCGUCAUUGCUGCCCUCAAGCACGGCUUGUGUGUUGGGCCCCCGUCCCCGGUUCUCCCUGGGGACGGGCCCGAAAGGCAGCGGCGGCACCGCGUCCGGUCCUCGAGCGUAUGGGGCUCUGUCACCCGCUCUGCAGGCCUGGCCGGCGCCAGCCGACACCCCAACUUUAUUUCUCUAAGGUUGACCUCGGAUCAGGUAGGGAUACCCGCUGAACUUAAGCAUAUCA
rnacentral:misc_RNA from 1 species